GAUGAACGCUGGCGGCGUGCUUAACACAUGCAAGUCGAACGGUAAGGCCCCUUCGGGGGUACACGAGUGGCGAACGGGUGAGUAACACGUGGGCAAUCUGCCCCUCACUCUGGGAUAACUCGGGGAAACCCGAGCUACUACCGGAUACUUCGUCGAGGUCGCAGGGCCAUGACGAGAAAGCUCCGACGGUGAGGGAUGCGCCCGCGGCCCAUUAGCUUGUUGGUGAGGUAACGGCUCACCAAGGCGACGAUGGGUAGCCGAGCUGAGAGGCUGAUCGGCCACACUGGGACUGAGACACGGCCCAGACUCCUACGGGAGGCAGCAGUGGGGAAUCUUGCGCAAUGGGCGAAAGCCUGACGCAGCAACGCCGCGUGCGGGAUGAAGGCUCUCGGGUCGUAAACCGCUUUCAGCAGGGAUGAAACUGACAGUACCUGCAGAAGAAGCCCCGGCUAAAUACGUGCCAGCCGCCGCCGUAAUAC
rnacentral:rRNA from 1 species